AAUAAAAAAUAAAAAAUCUAUGAUAUAAAAAUUAAAAAGAAAUUGGACUUCUUCCUAAAAGAAAACAAAAAUGGUUUGGCUGAUCUGUUUGACAGUGAGGACUAGCUUUACCAAUUAGAUUAUAUGAUGUUUUUUACAAACUGAAUGAGUUAUAUAUUUAAAAUAUACUUAGAGCAUAUAUGAUAAAAUAAUUUUAUGAAAAAUAUUGACAAAUCUCUUUGUGGUCUAUGGGCCAGAAAUGGACUCCACAAAUGGACUUUUUUUCUUUUAAUUUUUUUAUUGUACUUUAGAUGAAGGUUUACAGAACACAUAGUUUCUCAUUAAACAGUACACAUAUUGUUUUAUGACAGUGGUUAACAACCCCACAGAUUGUCAACACUGUCCCUUCUCAACCUUAGGUUGCCUAUUACGCAAAUGGACUUUUAAAAAGGGCUCCAUCAGUAUCGGUUCCUGCUGGAGAUAAGGACAGCCUGGGCAGAAGAAGCUGGCAUCAUAUAGUUGUAUGUGGAAACUGAAGGGUCUUCAUGAGAAGCCAGCUGGAGAAGAAGCACCACCAGGUCAAGUGAGGGGCAGUUGGAGACCUCAGUGGUGUUAUUUUUGAGAAACCCAGGAAGUGAAGAAUCUAUCAUGGGAAAUGCCAUACCUAGAGGGCAGCACUACCAGAGGAUAUCAGCCUUUUCCUCUCCACCACUCUCCUCACCAACUUCCGAGAAGCCAGAGGCAGCGAGUAGAAUGGAGGGAUGGAGAAUAAGAGAUGCAAGGGAAGGAAACAGAGAAGCCAGCCAGGACCCCUCUCUACAUUAGGUGGAACAAGUAUUUCAAAUGACUGGUGACCUUCAGCCUGAUUCAUACCUGGAGUUUCAAUCUUACUUUUGAGUCGACGAGGGAGAGCUACCAACUGAUUCUGAUCCCGAUCAAGCAUUGGAACCAUCUUCGAGAACCUCCGAAGCCGAGCUCCAGCCACUUGGUCAGCGGCAGGGACAGAGCGCUUCACCAGCCUCUCUGCAUAGUCGAAAGUGCUAGCCAGUUUCUGGCGGCCAGACCUCUUCUUCCUCCAAACUGAAAUCGAGACAUUCUUCCUCCCCUUGACGGAACCGCCUCCAAGAAGAGGAACUGACAUGCAAAAUGGACGCUAUUUAGUGGGGCCAAGAGGGGAAUGAACACACGUUAAAGUUAUUUUACUCUAAAAGGCUGCUAUUUCCUCAACUCUCCGUAUCCUCUUUGUUCUAAAUCCGAUUAUUAACCCACCACUCUAUUAGGUAGGGGGUACCACUAAUCAGUGAUGACGCCAAAUUUUCUGUAGGAGGGGGCUUGAGGAGUGGGCAAUUUGGUCUCAGAGAGAAGGACUGAAUCCAAGUAGCUAGCACUUUACAUGGGCGUCGAAAAACUUCCCCAUCCCACUUUGACUCAACACGGCCAUUAAUCCAGAAAAAGUAACAACCCACUUUUCAGAGGUUCACCUUUGUGUACAUGGAGAAGGAUGUUAAAGUCAGCAUGUUAAAGACUUUUCUUGGAAUACUAUAACCAAUACCUGUUUCUUUUAUACCCCUUCUUAUAAUUGUUUAUAGCCCUUCUUAUAAUCGUUUAUUUUCUAGCAUAACCCCUAGCAUGUAAACUCCAAGGGGUGCGGGGGGGGAUGCUUCAUCAUCUUAUUCCCUGUGCCUAGCAUAUAGCUUGGCACAUAGUAAUGGUUUUAGAAUAGAACUCAUUUCAAGAUUGGUCUCAUAAGGAUGGGGUCUUCUGUUUUAAUCAGGCUUCUGAAUUCUUUAGCACCAAUGUUUAAUCCCUUCCUUUUAUAUUUAUAAGGAAGCUACACUUCUGUUUUCCCUCUAAAUUUAUUUUGUUGUUGAGAAUAUACACAGCAAAACAUAAACCAAUCCAACCGUUUCUACAAGUACAAUUUAGUGACAUUGAUUACAUUCUUCAAGUUGUGCAACCAUUCUCA